GAUAAUAGUUACGCUGAACGGUGCCCACUGGUCACCCUAUAAAUAGUGCUCUUGUGUGUAGUAAUAUUGUAGUUCUAACACAUGUCUAAAAAUAGAAAGCUUAAAAUAGACAAUUCAUCUUUCUAUUUAGCAAUACACCAUAGAGCCUGUCACCGUCUGUAUUAUCUGAUAAUGUUAGCUGUCAUAAAAGAAAGAAGUAAAGCAUUUUUGGAAACUAUAUGGGAUUCAUGGAAAGGAAAUGCUGACGAAAAGUUUGGUACGGUGUAUGGGAAUGUUCUUUACGUAUCGGAUUUAAUGAGCUUAAAAAUUGAGGAGGAGUUGAAUGAUCAGGUAACAGUACUAAUGGUUUAAUUUAUGUAAUAAAGGUUAAACGUUUUCAAAGAUCUUGAACUCUCCUCUGAAACUACUGAACCAAUUCCAACCAAACGUAA